AUAACACAUAUGCAUUCAAGCAGUUUCAAUGACCAACCAAAAAUAUUAGGCCGUUAUCAUGUAAUUCAACCAUAACGUAUGAAAAUUAAUAACAAAUAGGAGGGGAAGAGAUGGACCUGCAAAGUUCCAGCAAUUACAUGAGCAAAUGAACCCAACUGAUAUAUCCAAACUCGAAAUGGUAGUCGGACUCGAUUUGAAAUCACAAACCGCAAUCAAAACCUUGACAGAAAAUGACGACCUCAAACCAAACUCGGAUUAAAUAAAUUAAAGAAUUGAGAACGGUGAAUUAAUCUUUCAUGAUUGUUGAGACUCAACAGAAGCUAGAACGAAAUAGAGAUCCUUUCAAGAACUUGGCUCGAAAAGUGAAACAAUCUUUGCUCAGUCACUACUUUUUUGCGGUAUUAUUUUUCUGACUUCUAAUUGCUAAUGAAACUUGAUUGAAUCUGAACAAAAAAUUUCAAAAAAGCUUAGCUUGGAACAUAGCAGCAAACUACGACAUGAAAAUCGCACGACAUCGUAUUUCUAGUUUCAUGCUUUCUUUAUGAUGAAGAAUGUGUGUCGAUAAAAAUGAUAAAGAAUACAAAGGUUAGCUAUGAUGAAAUUUUCAUUCUCGUUUUCUCACUACCUAGCUCGGGCGUCUUCGAUCUUGAACCCUUCCUAUCCAGAGCUACCUCUUCUGUUCUCUCCCUCCCUCUAUCUAUGUGUGUAUGCGGCUGUCUGAAACUUUGGUUCUGCAUCAAGAAGAAACAAGCAUCGUUGUUCUUCUUCUGUUGUUUGUGUUAGCUUCCUUAGGGAUUUUUAGGUUAGCUCCUUAUUGCAAAAGAAGCACGAGGGGUCUGUUCUUGAGUAAAAUUGCAUUUUGGAGUGUGGAGAGGGAGGGGUCGUUUGGAGUAGUGUCGCGGCUGCUUUGUAGUUCGUUGAAGACAAUGAAUGACGGGGGGUGGAGAGGUUUGAUUUUUGGAAUUUACGGCUGAAGGGGUGUUUCCGGCUAAAUUUUGAUCUUGGAGUUAUAAGGUUCAGUUUGUCUUUCUUAUGUUGAAGAAAAAGACCCCAUUUUUGUAUAUUAUUCCUUCCCUACUAAAAAAAACGGCUCCCU
rnacentral:lncRNA from 1 species